GGCGGUGACGCCUCGUCCUCUCCUCUUCCGCCGGCCUCGACGUCGUCUUCCGGCACAGCUACGGCAGGCGGCGGCUGGAUGCUACGAGGAGGGAGAACAUGUGCGGUGGUGGCUGACGGAGGACAGAGGAUGGACGAGGAAGAAGGGAUUUCUGAUUAGUAUUCACAUCUAGCUUCCUUUUCCGCUUCUUCCAUCUGGAUUUCUGAUUUCCUUGCUUUGAUUUCAAGAUGAGGCACAAGAUUCAUGCCCGGAGGCUGGAUGCUACCGGGAGGGAAAAAUCUUGAUCAAAUAGAAGAAGGAGAAAUUCAACCAAGCCUGACGAGAUCAAGACACGCUGGCAUCGAGAUCAAGUGAAGCUGCGCUGGAGCGAUGGCGCAUGUCUCGCCAUGCACGGUUCGCUCCUCUCCAUGAAUCCACAGUUGGCAGACUGGCAUUACUUCUACCAGUGUUGUUGGUACAACAGGUCAACAGCUACAACUUCAUGGCUUCUUUGAGCUUUAUUUGUGUUUCCUGAAGAUAGGAGAGCGCCAACGACACUUGUGAGAGUGACAUCAGCUGUAUACAAAUUGAUACUUAAUAUGGAGAAUUGAGUUAGUGAAGCUGUGUGGUCAUGGCGAUGUGCCGAUGUACACCUGGUUCCUAACCCUUCAGAAGGUACUUUGUCAAGAUCUAGAUGCUCGGGUUCACCGACACAAUACCAAUAGUACAGUACAUGCUGCUUGCUUCGCCGCUGACCCGCUCCUUUGAUUUCCCGUCCAUGUAUGGAAAACAGCUAUUGAUAUGAUGCCAUUGGCCAGCAUGCAGUUCCAGUACCUUAUGGUUGUGGAAAAGUUAUAUAGAGAUCUAUCCAGAUAUGAUGCCACUGCAACUGCUCAUGUGCAAAAUUUACUCUGUUUCACAUUGCACUAUCAUCAUUGUCACUCCAUGAGGUACCACAGGAUUAGUGCUUUUGGUUGUCCAAUUUGGCAAGAACACGAAGAAGGCCGAGUUGGUGAUGGCCCCUUAUGAGAGGGGCACUGGUAACGGGAAGCUUCUAUGACGUCGAAG